GAUGAACGCUGGCGGCGUGCUUAACACAUGCAAGUCGAACGGAAAGGCCCAAGCUUGCUUGGGUACUCGAGUGGCGAACGGGUGAGUAACACGUGGGUGAUCUGCCCUGCACUUCGGGAUAAGCCUGGGAAACUGGGUCUAAUACCGGAUAGGACCACAUUUUGGAUGGUGUGGUGGAAAGUUUUUCGGUGUGGGAUGAGCUCGCGGCCUAUCAGCUUGUUGGUGGGGUAAUGGCCUACCAAGGCGUCGACGGGUAGCCGGCCUGAGAGGGUGUACGGCCACAUUGGGACUGAGAUACGGCCCAGACUCCUACGGGAGGCAGCAGUGGGGAAUAUUGCACAAUGGGCGCAAGCCUGAUGCAGCGACGCCGCGUAGGGGAUGACGGCCUUCGGGUUGUAAACUCCUUUCGCUAGGGACGAAGCGCAAGUGACGGUACCUGGAGAAGAAGCACCGGCUAACUACGUG
rnacentral:rRNA from 1 species